rnacentral:rRNA from 1 species
UCCCAACCCAAUGUGAACGUUACCAAUCUGUUGCCUCGGCGGGAUUCUCUGCCCCGGGCGCGUCGCAGCCCCGGAUCCCAUGGCGCCCGCCGGAGGACCAACUCAAACUCUUUUUUCUCUCCGUCGCGGCCUACGUCGCGGCUCUGUUUUAUUUUUGCUCUGAGCCUUUCUCGGCGACCCUAGCGGGCGUCUCGAAAAUGAAUCAAAACUUUCAACAACGGAUCUCUUGGUUCUGGCAUCGAUGAAGAACGCAGCGAAAUGCGAUAAGUAAUGUGAAUUGCAGAAUUCAGUGAAUCAUCGAAUCUUUGAACGCACAUUGCGCCCGCCAGUAUUCUGGCGGGCAUGCCUGUCCGAGCGUCAUUUCAACCCUCGAACCCCUCCGGGGGGUCGGCGUUGGGGAUCGGCCCCUCACCGGGCCGCCCCCGAAAUACAGUGGCGGUCUCGCCGCAGCCUCUCCUGCGCAGUAGUUUGCACACUCGCACCGGGAGCGCGGCGCGGCCACAGCCGUAAAACACCCCAAACUCUGAAAUGUUGACCUCGGAUCAGGUAGGAAUACCCGCUGAACUUAAGCAUAUCAUAAG